rnacentral:lncRNA from 1 species
UGGGGGGGGAGUUGGGGGGGUCUCCCGGAGCUGGGGUGCUCCUUGCAGCACAUGCUGCUGAAGCUGUGCCAGAUGUUGGGACUCACAAAUAAAUUUUUACAGUGAUUUUAUUGGCUGCAGACACACGCAGCAUCUUCUUGCGCUCCUCCUUGAGGUGGAUGGGCAGCUAGCUGGAGAUGACACAGGAUGAUGCGCAUCUUUCGCACGCUGGCUCCAAGAUCUCCGCUGCCAGUGACUUCAACAGAAGUGGAGUAAAUAAAGAUGAUCACAGAACUUGGAAGCUGACGAAAUUAAUUUUGGAAAAGAGCUGGCUUGGAGCAUGACAGAAGAAUUCGAUGGAAAGAGUGCUGGGAGCCCAACUCAAGACUGAUGUGUGCUUGGCAGGCAGUCUACCCCCGAUCUCAGUCCUCCAGCCUUUCGGCCUUUUUUCCUUUUUGGAGACAGAAUUGCAUCAUAUGGCAUCCUACACAGUCCUGCCUCAGUCUCUGCAGUGCUGGGAUUGUAGGCCUAUGCCACCUAGCCUUUCUACAAUACAAACAAAUAUGAAAAGAAGAGGGACUUCUUUGGAAAGGAGUACAGGGACUAUGGAAGAGAUGAAAAGAUAAUAUUGUCAGAAAUUAUGCCGCUUUUGAAGAGAUAAACUGAACUCUUGAUUCUGUGAGGUUAUUAAAGAAUAUUAAUUUUCAAAUCACGGUAAAAUCUUGAUUCAGCAACACAUGAGGAUAAUCAUUGUGUCCAUGGAAACCUUGGGAAGCAGUUGAAAGCCUGGUCCCUCUUGCCUGGAGCAUUAACACAACGUGGCUGCAAAGUUAGUCCUUUCCCGCUACCAUCUCCUGAAUACUGGGACUAACUACACGUAUGCACGAACCUGCCCAUCUUUGCCUCUGUUAACAGCUGCCACUGUCUCUUCACGACAUGAUGGCUGACCUAGGUUGGAAGGAACAGAGCCAGUUGGCCAUGGACUGAAACUUUUGGAACUGAUUCUGAGGAGUUAAUGUUUCCAUGAAUAUCUCAGAAGGAGAUGUGGACAAACGAACAGUUAUCUCACUCCUGUAGCUGGCUGAGCUUUUUAAAGAUGGCUAUUCUGAAUUCUUCACAGAUGGCACAGUGUCAGAAUCGUGUGUGGCCUCCUGCUGCCUGAACCAUGCCGCUAAGACAGUUGCCCACUGUGCAGCUUCACACCAUCUGCAGAGAGCAACACUGCAGAGCCUUUGGGAGAGCCUUGCCAGUCGCUGAAAGCCUGGCUGACUGCCAAGCCUUGCACUGUAGACUGAAAAUUGCUCUCUUUGCUGAGCUCAGUACUAACACUUAGAUCUUCAUGGUCUCCUGGGAGACCAUGUCAGCUGCUGUUCAGUGAGAUAAAUUUGGAUCAGCUGAAGAUAUGCACUCUCUAUGCCUUCCUUGACUGUCAGCUAAACAGUGUGCACUCCUGGCUUAGUACAGCCUUGGCUGCUGAGAGCCCCAUUCCUCCCCUGUGCUCUUCAUUGUCCUCAUGAUCUGGCUUUCAUCAUCCAUUAUACUCCUAACACUGGGAGUGAAGUGUCAUUGAAGAAUGUUCAUCAGGCACUACCUCAAAGGGCUGGAGAUGAUUGGUGAAUGCUUUGAUUCUUCAUUCCUCCUAGGACACAUAUCAAGCCCCCAGAAUUUCUCUCUAUCCAGUUGCACCAGUGUGAGGAACUUGACGGUGUCAGGAAAGUGAAACUGCUUCUCUGCUCCAUAUAAAUGUCUGUGCAGAUGCAAAGCCAUGCAUUACAUGGUAGCUCACCUUUAAUCCUAGCACUCAGGAGACAGAGGCAGGAGGAUCUCUCCGAGCUCAAGGCCAGCCUGGUCUUCACAGUGAGUUCCAGGACAGCCAAGGCUACACAGGAAUCCUGUGUACAGGUCCUUGGUAUUGCACUCCUCUCUAUAAACACAACUUGCUUUUAGAAUGUGUGGUUGUUAAGUUGUUCUGUGAAGGAUGGAUAAAGGCUAGCUCACUACUACACCCGUCAGCUUGCUCCUGUCACUUCUUCUCACCUUUGAGCACUUAGCAUCCCUCUCCGUGUUGUCUUUGCUGAAAUGCUUGCUAAGGCGAAGCUCCUCUGUAGCUGUCCUCUAGCCCCAGCCAAGAUUCUUUCAAGAUUUUUCUUUGGCCUUCUGUAAUUUGAAUAUGAUGAAUGUUUUUAUUUACUACUUCAUUUUGUAUUUUGAAUCUUUUUUAAACCAUGCCAGGUUCUCUAGGCUCCUGGUUCUGAUAUGAAUUGAGCGAUUAUCUUAGGCCCUUGUGUUUCAAAUCUUUCUUUCUUUCUUUCUUUCUUUCUUCCUUCCUUCCUUCUUUUCUUUUCUUUUCUUUUCUUUUUUUUUUUUGAGACAGGGUUUCUCUGUAUAGCUCUGGCUGUCCUGUAACUCACCCGGUAGAUCAGGCUGUCCUUGAACUCAGAAAUCCGCCUGCCUCUGCCUCCCAAGUGCUGGAAUUAAAGUCAUGUGCCACCACU